GACGCUCUCUGAGGCUCCACCAGAUCUCUCUGGUGCGAAUCGGAAGACCAUGAUCUGAUUUCAAAUUUGUUUUAUCAUGGACAGAUUUUUGGUUCAUCCUCCUUCAUGGCGAGAAUUCCUCUUCUCUAGAUGUCUUGCUGUUGGACUCUCCUCUCUCUAUUUUCCAAUUUUUGCAUCUAGGGUUCGGGGUCUCUAGACUCGAACACGUCACCCAUCUCCUGGUUUUUCUUCCGAUGGAAUCAUCCAUCCCCCACUUGCUCUUUCAACAAGGGGAAACGUCAGUCACAUCCUCUAGAGAUUUUGAUGAUUUUGGACGUUUUCAUUGGUUACUUGAUCUGGUUGUCCACGUUUUCUUCUCUCUAUG
rnacentral:lncRNA from 1 species